UAUAUUAGAUGUUAUAUAUCUUUGAAAAACAUGUAGGAGUUUGAAUAUUCAUUAGUUUUUUUUAAUAAAGUGGAAUAUGGCAAAUCUCAUAUAGUAUUAAUUUUAAUGUCAAAGAGGCAGUGGCAAAUCAAAAGAGCAUCACAGAUUAAGGGUAUCAAGAGGGCAAUACAGUGUAUAGAAAAGAAGUAUAGUCACAAAGAACGUUUCUGAUUUGUGUUUUUCAGGUACAUCUAGUUCUUCUAUUUGUCUACCUAUAGGUGCACUCAAAACAUUUUAAUUUAUUUCAUGCGUUGUCAUCGUUAUCCUCUGUAUUGCUCUGAGAAAGAAGAUGUUACUUGUUUGUGAAAAAAAGGAUGAGUGCAACAGGGCUAGUUUCAAUCAUUUAAAAAAAGAAAUUCCAAGGGCUCUGGCAAGACCCGUCAUGAAAAGAGUUGUUAUGAAAAAAUUUUUUUCCACAUGCUUGGUAAUUCCCUCACUGAAGGAUAUAUCUUUGCUAAAGUGAUAGUUUACUCUGGAAUAUUACAAAGGUAGGCUGUUAGUUAUCAUUAGUACUUACGGUAAAUUGAGUUUAAGAGUCUUUACUGAGGACAGAUUUUUGCACAAGAGAAUAUGGAUCACAGACAACUGGUGGAGAGGAAGCUCAUUGAGAGGUAAAAAAAGGUAGAGAUUGGAAGGAGAUUUUUCAAAGAGACUAUUGCAGUAGUCAAGAUGAGAGUUGAUGGUGGUCUGGACUAGAGUAGCAGCAAAGGGGACUGAGGGAUUAAGUUUGGGAUGGCAAGAUUUGCUGAAGGAACAGCUGUGGUAAAAGAGCAAAAUGUAAGAAUUGUCCUGAUGAUUGUUUGUUUUCUGGUGUUAGAUGAAGAAAACUUUUACAAAUAUGGGAAAGAUUAGAGGAAGAACAAACUUUGGAAAGAGAAUCCAGAGUUCAAUUUUGAACAUGUUAAUUUUGAAAUGCCUAUUUUACAUCCAAGGGAAUAGGUUAGUUAUCUCUAUAUAUGAAUCUGAAAUAGAUGGAACACAUAAGGACCAGUGGUUUAAGUUUUAGAGUAUAAUGAACAGACUCUCCAAGGGGACAAAUCAUAGGUUAUGACUCUCACUAUUAUAGAGUGGAAAUAAUAUGCAAGUUCUGUAAUUCGAGUAUUUUCAUGCCCAACGAAGCAUUUGAAAAUAUACUUUGGUCAAUCUCAAGAGAAUUUGAAUCUGAAUCUCCAAAUGUUUUACUCAUAGCAUACUCUUACAAUGGACUGCCAUGAGGGGGAGUGUUUGGGCUGUAUUCCUCUUAUGGGUAUAUUAAUGUCGCUAUAUCUCUAGGUCACAGAAUGUGUGAACCAAUACCUCAUUUGAGACAGCCUCACAUGGAGAACGUAAGAGCCAUUCUCUUCUCACAUACAGUUAAAUAUGAUAUUUGCUGCAGUAUGACCGCUAAGCAUAUUAUCAAGGGUUUCACUGCAUCACCCAGGCUAGAGUGCAG